CAUCAUUAUUAUUGAUGUAAUGAUAAUCUGAAAAGAGGUGUUGUGUGAGAUUAUCUAUGGACAUGGGGAGAGAUAUGACGACGGAACAGCAGCGAUUGGUUUCACCUGGCUUUUUAAGAUGCUGAACCGUGCCAACACAGUCGGGAUACUUAUCAAGG